GGGGUGCACGUGCAACGGAGACACCGCCCCUAAACCUGGGGCCCUGAGGCUAACAGCUAACAGUGGCCCUGCCGUUACGGCCAGUGUCAGGUGCCAGCUGGGCUGGACCAGGAAUUCCCAGAAACCUGGCAAGGCAUGAUUUGGGGUGGGUCGUGCUGAGGGCCACACCAUCCGCUUCCCCGCUUCUGAGGCCUUCCGACCUGGGCUGAGCCCGGCUACCCGAGUCCCGGGGUCUCCGGCUCACAGACUUCUCGGCCUCCGUAAUUGCAAACGCCAGCUCCCCCAGUCCAUCUCCUGUCCUGGAUCUACGUCUAUAUCCUACUGGAUCCGUCUCUCUGGAGAACCCUAAUACAGCUGUCAACACAAGGAUGAACUAACUACAAGAAGGCCUGAAUAGGAACUCUCCCAGGGGACGAAGAGGUUUCAGCCUUCAGCAAAGGAUGGUUCAUAGAAACCGUUCGCAUAGUCGGCCCUCCACGGACUGCAACCCUAGUUAAUAUUACCUACAGUAAACAAAAAAUUCAAGUAUAGAUUUUAGUCUAAAGCAAAUAGGAAAUGUCGCUUCCCUGGACGUUGGGAGAAGCAAACACGAAUCCUCUCCUGAGGCCGGAAGCGGUGGCUCACGCCUGUAAUCCCAGCACUUUGGGAGGCUGAGGCGGGCGGAUCAUUUUAUAACUAUCUAUUAAAUGUUUAAGUUUUCAGUCCAUUUUUCCUGUCUACAUGGAAUUGCCGACUGCACAAAGAACACAUGAGGGCUCUCUCAAGGCCAUCAUUUCCGCGGAGUCCCAUUUCCUGACUCAAAUGACAAGCUCUCAACUUUCUACUCAAGAUCAUUGAAACAUCUGUGUUGAUUAUUUGUAACCGGGAUAUGCUUUAUUUAUUAGAUAAGAGACUAACC
rnacentral:lncRNA from 1 species